rnacentral:lncRNA from 1 species
ACACAUUUUUACUCUAAACUAAAAUUUUUAGACGAGUAACUUAAUAAAUAAUUACUCAUUCUCUAUAAGCUAAAUGAGAGAUGUUUGUUUUGAGGAGACCUCUAUAUUAUACCCCCAUGGACACAGAUGCCCCUGCUUGCAUACAACAUUUUAAAGGGACAUUGCUCAAGAAUAAUAAAAGUGGCGCUACCCAAAUUUGUACUUGAUCUGAGUUUUGUUGUAAUAAGUAUUGUGUAUAGGUUCCAUAAAGUUUAUAUGGGACAAACUUAAGUUACAGAACCGAAACUAUUUGCAAUUUUUCCAUCUAUAAAGGGGCAUAACUCUAUAACGGUUAAAGUGACACCACCAAAAUUCAACAUUGAUCUGUGUUUUGUGGUAAUAAGCAUUGUGUAUACAUGGUAUAAGUUUCAUAACAUUUGGUUGAGGCAAACUCAAGUAAGGGAACAGAAGUCAAUUAUUGGACGUACAUAUAGACGGACAAGUGUAAAACUUGAUGCCACCUCCGUUACGACGGGAGCAUAAAAAGUUGUCAAGAAGAAAUAACCCAAAAUGAAUUCCAUAAAAACCAUAAAAGGGUAAAAUAAAAAACUUUCAAUAUAGCAACCAAAUGUAUUC